UUGUGGCAAUGAUGAUUAAGAAUAAUCCCAGCUCUAUGAGACCUCUCUUGGUCAGGGAAUUGAACUGAUUGAACAUCAUUCUGAGCUCUUGA